AUCCAAGAUGGCGGCGCUUUUCUUAUUUUCCCUUCGCUUUUAAACGUUUUGGGAGCCCUUUAAAUGAAAAGGAUAAAACCUCGAGAAGGGAAGAAAUCCUAUUUCAACGGUUUUUAGGGGCUUUAGCGCCCCCCACACGCAUGGGGGGUGCAGAACUACAAAUCCCGAGAGGCAGCGGGGCGCCGGCACAUGCGCGGUGUGUGCGGUGUUGCUGCCGCACGUGUGCGGCCGAGCGGGCAGUGCGGCCCUGAGGUACCGGCGCCCCCCGAGGGGGCGUCCCGACGGUUAUUUUAUUUCGGUUCAAGUCUGCAGUCUGGCUCAUCGCACGGUACUUGAAACAAUUCUACCAGCACCAACGGUUUGAGGGAGAAGGGAGACGCUUCCCCUGAGAGAAAUAUCCAUCAAAUUCCAGUCUGUCUGUGCAAGAGCAAAUCCAGGCCGCCCCAGACCCUUUGCUUUCUUGUAAAUGGGCAGAUUUUGGUAUCCUACAGACUGCUCCUAACAAAAGGAAGAGAACUGUAACUAGUCACAAAUGCUUCUUGUCAGAAUGAAUUUCCUACAGCUACUGUCCAGGAAACCCGAGAGACUGGAAAUGGUUUUUCGACUACGAUAUUGCAAAAAGCAGUUCCCAUACAUGUGUCUGGCUACCUCUGCUUGUCUUUAUAGCAAAAAGAAAAAAGCGAACGGUUAUGAACAAGUUGAUCAAGAAAAAUACAACAGCUUGGUCUAUUCUGUUACAUCUUACAAAGCCAGUGCCCAAACACCAGAGACGAUACUUGAAGAAGACGGUUUGUUAUGUGGACAACCACUUAAACACGCACCUCCAAAUGAAGCUGAAACAAACGCUCCCAAGAACUGGGUUCCUCUCAUAAACCCCAACAAGAGAGCUCCACUUCUUGACAGCGAUUCCAGCCUUCCCAUGAAAAUUGCUUUACAAAAAACAAAAAUACCCAGUGUUACCCGUAUCCUUCAACAGACCAUCCCUCCGCAGCAAGCCUUUUACCUAGAAAGGUGGAAGCAGAAAAUGAUACUGGAACUUGGGAAGGAUGGUUUUGCAGAGUAUACUAAAAAUCUUUUCAUCCAAGGAGAGCUCUUCCAUGCAGCUUUGGAAUCUAUGUUUUUACCUGAAGACUUGGCAACUAAGGAGCAGGGAGAAGACGCUGCUAUUUCUGGCUACUUAACAAGCGUGCAACAUGUCUUAAAAGAUAUCAGUGAAGUCAAAGUUCUGGAAAGCGCAGUUCAGCAUGAAACUCUUCAGUAUCUGGGCCUGGUAGACUGCGUGGCUAAGUAUCGAGGCCAGUUGUGUGUGAUUGACUGGAAGACAUCAGAGAAACUGAAGCCGUCUCUGAAGAAUACUUUUGACAACCCACUGCAGGUUGCAGCAUAUGUUGGAGCCAUAAAUCACGAUGCCAAUUACGACUUCCAGGUGAUGGAGCACUGACACAGGCUGCCCAGAGGUUGUGGAAUCUCCCUCCUUGGAGAUCUUCAAAACCACCUGGACGUGGUCCUGGGCACCCUGCUCCGGGUGUCCCUGCUCGAGCAGAGGGUUGGACCAGCUGGCCUGCGGAGGUCUCUUCCCACCUCAGCUGUUCUUUGAGUCUGUGAUAUGUCAGUUGUGGACUCAUAGUGGUUGCCUAUAAGAACGGUUGCCCCGCACAUCCGCAUUUCAUGGAUCCAGACCUGUGCUCACAGUACUGGAAUAAGUGGCUUCUGCGCCUCGAGGAAUACAUGGACAGAAACUGACCCAAACUAAGCUAUACAAGUGGUCAAG